CCUACGGGUGGCAGCAGUGGGGAAUAUUGCACAAUGGGCGCAAGCCUGAUGCAGCCAUGCCGCGUGUGUGAAGAAGGCCUUCGGGUUGUAAAGCACUUUCAGCGGGGAGGAAGGCGUUAAGGUUAAUAACCUUGUCGAUUGACGUUACCCGCAGAAGAAGCACCGGCUAACUCCGUGCCAGCAGCCGCGGUAAUACGGAGGGUGCAAGCGUUAAUCGGAAUUACUGGGCGUAAAGCGCACGCAGGCGGUCUGUCAAGUCGGAUGUGAAAUCCCCGGGCUCAACCUGGGAACUGCAUUCGAAACUGGCAGGCUAGAGUCUUGUAGAGGGGGGUAGAAUUCCAGGUGUAGCGGUGAAAUGCGUAGAGAUCUGGAGGAAUACCGGUGGCGAAGGCGGCCCCCUGGACAAAGACUGACGCUCAAGUGCGAAAGCGUGGGGAGCAAACAGGAUUAGAUACCCGUGUAGUC
rnacentral:rRNA from 1 species